CUCGUAGUUCAGGAAACGACGCUAAUAGCUGUGGUUUUGGCCUGGAUUCUGUUGGUCCAUAGGAGAGUUGUUCGUCGGAAUGAAAAACCUCUCAUUUGGCAUGGUUCGAUGUUAAUCCGGGAUCGAGAGAGAAUAGUCAAUCUGAACUACAUCUACAGCUGCAACGACAGAGAGGUUCUAUGGAUGCUUUGAAUGAAAAGAGAACCUUUCGCUAGGCUUGUGCAGAUGUUCAGGAGCAGGGGGGUUCUAGAAGAUAGCAUCGACACCACUAUGGAAGAGCAAGUAGCCAUGUUCCUCUAUGUUGUUGGUCAUAACCAGAGGUUUAGAGUUGUGUACAACACCUUCAGGAGAUCAAUGGAGACCAUCUCCAGGUACUUCAAGCAAGUGAUGCAUGUUAUUCGGGAACUCAGAGGAGAUAUGAUCAUGUCACCAACCUGCCAGACUCCUACCAAGAUUCGCACUAGCCCAAGAUGGUAUCCAUACUUCAACGUGAGAAAUGAUAUGCUUGAUAUGUAG
rnacentral:rRNA from 1 species